AUUGAACGCUGGCGGCAGGCCUAACACAUGCAAGUCGAGCGGAUGAAGGGAGCUUGCUCCUGGAUUCAGCGGCGGACGGGUGAGUAAUGCCUAGGAAUCUGCCUGGUAGUGGGGGAUAACGUCCGGAAACGGGCGCUAAUACCGCAUACGUCCUGAGGGAGAAAGUGGGGGAUCUUCGGACCUCACGCUAUCAGAUGAGCCUAGGUCGGAUUAGCUAGUUGGUGGGUAGGCCUACCAAGGCGACGAUCCGUAACUGGUCUGAGAGGAUGAUCAGUCACACUGGAACUGAGACACGGUCCAGACUCCUACGGGAGGCAGCAGUGGGGAAUAUUGGACAAUGGGCGAAAGCCUGAUCCAGCCAUGCCGCGUGUGUGAAGAAGGUCUUCGGAUUGUAAAGCACUUUAAGUUGGGAGGAAGAGCAGUAAGUUAAUACCUUGCUGUUUUGACGUUACCAACAGAAUAAGCACCGGCUAACUUCGUG
rnacentral:rRNA from 1 species